rnacentral:ncRNA from 1 species
GCGAGCCGUAUGAAUUGAAAGAUUCACGUACGGUUCUGAGGGCAGUUUGAAAUCCUAAAGGGUAAUAACCAAAGAAACCCUGC